GGCUGGGCUGGGUUCUGUCUGGCGCUUUUGCGCGGGUUCCCUGGCAAUAAGCGUCAUUUUGUUCGUUUGUUUUGUAUUCACUUCUAUUAUUGUCUGGAUUACCCCGACAACUGGUGCGUUACGACUUAGGAGAAGGAACACCAGUUUAAACCGCUUAUAAUAAAAGCAAAGGGGUUGUGUUAAGUGUUCUUAUAUUCAUCAGGCAGCAGGAUGAUCUUUUGUGGAGUAAAAUGUCAGGUUUUUUUUUUUUUAAGAAAUCGAUUUUUAGUUGUGACGUCAUUUGGCAGGCUGUCCACGGUAUCACUUUCUGCUUAUUUUUAAUAGGUCUGAUUUAAGCCGACGCUGUUCUACCCUGCCACUCCUAGCCAUAAAUUGGUACUGUGUAGUGAUCUGGAUGAACUCCUACAAUGUGGCAGCCGUUUGCUUUGUGCUGGAGAUACCAUGACGAACAGCCCACGUUCCUGCCUUCAGGAAACUGAAAGGGAACCAACUCUCAGAACUGCAGCAAGCUUGUUAACCCCAAUGCAUUGGAUGAUCAAGCAGAGUCCCACCAACUUUCUGUUGCUCUCCAGAGGAAAGAUUAGAGGAGAAUUCCGGGUGCCCAUUCUAGGGCAACAUAAUUUUCAUGAACCCUUUCCUCCAUUGAGAAAAAAAGA